CUGGUCUCCAGCUGGGAAGCUGUGUGCCCUGCUGACCACCUAUUGAAGGAAAGAAUGAGAGAAUGGAGACAAGUGCUGCCAGCCACGCUCUCCCUCCCAGCUAGACUCAGAUCCCGCUUUCCACAGGAGUUCUGGGCUUGGGCCCCUUCCCAGUGCUCCUGCUUGCCAGUGUCUGCGCCUGAGGGCCGCACAUCCCCGCGGGUCCCGAUUUGAGGGGCUGGCCGCUCCCUUGGCUUCUGUUCCAGAUUACUAGAUAGAGCUAUAACACUCCUCCUGGCUGCCAGCUGCUGGCCUGAGCUUCGGGAUCAUCAGCUGAGCUGCUGGCGUCCGGCCCUGCCUAUGUGUUGGCAGGGGCUUCCUGUGCUUGCAGGCCAGAUUAGGGGAGGCUGCCCACCUCUCACUGCCCAUCCUGUUGUGGCAACUCUCCGACCCUGGGAGUCAGGCUCAGUUCUUCUCCCUUGGGCUCUACUCAGGUGGGCACAGAUGAGAGGGCACUUCAAAGGGCACAGCAAAGGGUAAUCGAAGGAAAAGUGGGCCUGGGGUGAGUCCAAAGUCUCAAAGCCCUCUGUCCCCUUCGAUUCUUUGUCUGCACAGGAAACCAGAGAGUGAGAAGGACAGCUGGGGAUACGAAGGCUAACCGCGAUUGUGAAGUCUAUGCUUGCCCACCCCCCAGGCUGCUGCUGAAGGGCCAGACCUUUUGGAUGAAGACUCAGAAUGUAGGGGCUGAAACAGACCUCAGCUCUUCCCCCGUGCAGCAAUGCUCAAGUUACCCCACCCAGCCUGUGUUCACCAGCCACCUGCAGGAGCAAGGGAAGGAAAGGGGCACCCUGGACAAGGCUGGUCAAGGAAAGGCUGUCUUCUCUGAGCCUCCUUCCAGUGAUCACACACAGGUGUCGUUUAGAGAUUCACCCUCAGACUGUGGCUUUAUUCACAUCUGCUGCAUCAGAGCUCAGCAUUCGGGAGCCAGAGCCCACUGGGACAACGGACAGUCACCACCUGGGAGGCAGGGCUGGGAGCCAGAGGGCACCCUUUUCUCCAGGACAGGACCACCACAGGCCUGGCUGUCUCUGCGCUGGGUCUCUGUCUUUGUCCUCUGAAGCUUUACCAGAAAGGUUAUCGGCUGCAGGGAGAUGGAGAUGUGAAGCCACUUUGAGGUCCUCAAAAGAAAGUUGCUCUAAUACGACCAAACUCAGUAUCUUUGAGAAGGUGGCCACUUACUGUUGUGAAUGGGAGCCCUAAAUGGUGACCUGGAAUUGCAGCCUCACCGAGAGGCUUCCCCAGGGAUCUCAGGCAUGCAGCACUCACUCAGCCACAGAGAUGGCAUCUGAAUUGCCUUCUGUCCAUGGAGGCGCAACAGCAAUGACCCCACGAAGUAGUAGGUGGGAACUGGCUGUGGGCAGACCAAGACAGGGCCUGAAAUAUGCCAGGGAGUGGCUAAGUGGCAAACGGGAGCUGGAAAUGGAGGGACCUGGGGAAGGGCAGCUCAACUGAGCACAAGUGGCAUUCUCUGAGCAGCAGAGCUGUGAGGCCAUGCUUGUCGCAUCCAGCUACCUGUACAGUGGGUGUUCCCUCCUCUCCCUAGUCCCCUGCAUCAGCCCGGUCUCCAUCCUGCUGGCUCUCCACUUGCUGUGGUGCUGGAAAAUUCCAGCUGAGGGCAUUUCUACCAAGUUAUUACUGACCAAUAGCAUUUAGCUUGUUCCUCUUCUCAGAGACAAACAAGUUUAAAAAGUAGUUUGCUUCUGCUCCUCCUCCUCUUCCUCCUCUUCCUCCUCCUGCUUCUUAUAGAGACAGGGUCUCGCUCUGUCACUCAGGCUGGAGCUGGAGUGCUGUGGGGUGAUCACAGAUCACUGAAGCCUUGAACUCCUGGGCUCAAGUGAUUCUCCCACCUCAGUCUUGCAGUAGUUAGGACUAUAGGUGUGCACCACCACACUCAGCAAAAUUUUUUGUAGCAAUAGGUCUGUUAUGUUGCACAGGGUGGUCUCACACUCCUGGGCUGAAGGGAUCCUUCUGCCUUGACCUCCCAAAGCACUGGGGUUACAGGUGUGAGCCACUGUGCCCAGCCAAAAAAUAGUUUUCAUUUAUUGUACAUCUAUGUGGCAUAACCUGAAAUUUUUUCAAAUCGAAU
ensembl:lncRNA